AGGACGAACGCUGGCGGCAGGCUUAACACAUGCAAGUCGAGCGGAAAGGCCCUUCGGGGUACUCGAGCGGCGAACGGGUGAGUAACACGUGAGCAACCUGCCCUUAGCUCCGGGAUAGCUCCGGGAAACCGGAAUUAAUACCGGAUACGACCACGGCCGACAUCUGCUGUGGUGGAAAGGAUUCCGGCUAAGGAUGGGCUCGCGGCCUAUCAGCUAGUUGGUGGAGUAACGGCCCACCAAGGCGACGACGGGUA
rnacentral:rRNA from 1 species